AGGACGGACGCUGGCGGCGUGCCUAACACAUGCAAGUCGAGCGAGGAGAUUCCUUCGGGAUGAUCCUAGCGGCGGACGGGUGAGUAACACGUGGGCAACCUGCCUCAUAGAGAGGAAUAGCCUUCCGAAAGGGAGAUUAAUACCUCAUAACAUUGCAGUUUCGCAUGGAACAGCAAUUAAAGGAGUAAUCCGCUAUGAGAUGGGCCCCGCGGCGCAUUAGCUAGUUGGUGAGGUAACGGCUCACCAAGGCGACGAUGCGUAGCCGACCUGAGAGGGUGAUCGGCCACAUUGGGACUGAGACACGGCCCAGACUCCUACGGGAGGCAGCAGUGGGGAAUAUUGCACAAUGGGGGAAACCCUGAUGCCAGCAACGCCGCGUGAGUGAUGACGGCCUUCGGGUUGUAAAGCUCUGUCUUCAGGGACGAUAAUGACGGUACCUGAGGAGGAAGCCACGGCUAACUACGUGCCAGCCGCGGC
rnacentral:rRNA from 1 species